rnacentral:rRNA from 1 species
GUGGGGAAUCUUCCGCAAUGGACGAAAGUCUGACGGAGCAACGCCGCGUGAGUGAUGAAGGUCUUCGGAUUGUAAAACUCUGUUGUCAGGGACGAAUGUGCGAACGUUGAAUAAGCGUUUGUAUUGACGGUACCUGACGAGGAAGCCACGGCUAACUACGUGCCAGCAGCCGCGGUAAUACGUAGGUGGCAAGCGUUGUCCGGAAUUAUUGGGCGUAAAGAGCAUGUAGGCGGGCUUUUAAGUCCGACGUGAAAAUGCGGGGCUUAACCCCGUAUGGCGUUGGAUACUGGAAGUCUUGAGUGCAGGAGAGGAAAGGGGAAUUCCCAGUGUAGCGGUGAAAUGCGUAGAUAUUGGGAGGAACACCAGUGGCGAAGGCGCCUUUCUGGACUGUGUCUGACGCUGAGAUGCGAAAGCCAGGGUAGCAAACGGGAUUAGAUACCCUGGUAGUCC